rnacentral:sRNA from 1 species
GUUGCUUCGGCGGGCCCGCCAGCGUUGCUGGCCGCCGGGGGGCGACUCGCCCCCGGGCCCGUGCCCGCCGGAGACCCCAACAUGAACCCUGUUCUGAAAGCUUGCAGUCUGAGUGUGAUUCUUUGCAAUCAGUUAAAACUUUCAACAAUGGAUCUCUUGGUUCCGGCAUCGAUGAAGAACGCAGCGAAAUGCGAUAACUAAUGUGAAUUGCAGAAUUCAGUGAAUCAUCGAGUCUUUGAACGCACAUUGCGCCCCCUGGUAUUCCGGGGGGCAUGCCUGUCCGAGCGUCAUUGCUGCCCUCAAGCCCGGCUUGUGUGUUGGGCCCUCGUCCCCCGGCUCCCGGGGGACGGGCCCGAAAGGCAGCGGCGGCACCGCGUCCGGUCCUCGAGCGUAUGGGGCUUCGUCUUCCGCUCCGUAGGCCCGGCCGGCGCCCGCCGACGCAUUUAUUUGCAACUUGUUUUUUUCCAGGUUGACCUCGGAUCAGGUAGGGAUACCCGCUGAACUUAAGCAUAUCAAUAAGCGGAGGAAAAGAAACCAACCGGGAUUGCCUCAGUAACGGCGAGUGAAGCGGCAAGAGCUCAAAUUUGAAAGCUGGCUCCUUCGGGGUCCGCAUUGUAAUUUGCAGAGGAUGCUUCGGGUGCAGCCCCCGUCUAAGUGCCCUGGAACGGGCCGUCAUAGAGGGUGAGAAUCCCGUAUGGGGCGGGGUGUCUGCGUCCGUGUGAAGCUCCUUCGACGAGUCGAGUUGUUUGGGAAUGCAGCUCUAAAUGGGUGGUAAAUUUCAUCUAAAGCUAAAUACUGGCCGGAGACCGAUAGCGCACAAGUAGAGUGAUCGAAAGAUGAAAAGCACUUUGAAAAGAGAGUUAAACAGCACGUGAAAUUGUUGAAAGGGAAGCGCUUGCAACCAGACUCGCUCGCGGGGUUCAGCCGGGCUUCGGCCCGGUGUACUUCCC